rnacentral:rRNA from 1 species
CCUACGGGAGGCAGCAGUGGGGAAUAUUGGACAAUGGGCGCAAGCCUGAUCCAGCCAUGCCGCGUGAGUGAUGAAGGCCCUAGGGUUGUAAAGCUCUUUCACCGGUGAAGAUAAUGACGGUAACCGGAGAAGAAGCCCCGGCUAACUUCGUGCCAGCAGCCGCGGUAAUACGAAGGGGGCUAGCGUUGUUCGGAUUUACUGGGCGUAAAGCGCACGUAGGCGGACUAUUAAGUCAGGGGUGAAAUCCCGGGGCUAAACCCCGGAACUGCCUUUGAUACUGGAAGUCUUGAGUUCGAGAGAGGUGAGUGAAAUUCCGAGUGUAGAGGUAAAAUUCGUAGAUAUUCGGAGGAACACCAGUGGCGAGGGCGGCUCACGGGC